CAGUUUGAUUCCCAGUCAGGGCACAUGCCUGGGUUGUGGGUUUAGUCUCCAGUCAGGGUGUAGGAGAAGCAACCAACUAAUGUGUCUCUCUUACAUUGAUGUGUCUCUCCCUCUUUCUCCCUCCCUUCCUUUCU